rnacentral:rRNA from 1 species
CCUACGGGUGGCAGCAGUGAGGAAUAUUGGUCAAUAGGCGCGAGCCUGAACCAGCCAAGUCGCGUGAAGGAUGACUGCCCUACGGGCUGUAAACUUCUUUUAUAAAGGAAUAAAGUGAGGCCCGUGUGCCUUUUUGUAUUUACUUUAUGAAUAAGGAUCGGCUAACUCCGUGCCAGCAGCCGCGGUAAUACGGAGGUGCCGAGCGUUGUCCGGAUUUAUUGGUUUUAAAGGGAGCGUAGAUGGGUUGUUAAGUCAGUUGUGAAAUUUUGCGGCUCAACCGUAAAAUUGCAAUUGAUACUGGCAGACUUGAGUACAGUUGAGGUAGGCGGAAUUCGUGGUGUAGCGGUGAAAUGCUGAGAUAUCACGAAGAACUCCGAUUGCGAAGGCAGCUUACUAAACUGCCACUGACAUUGAUGCUCGAAAGUGUGGGUAGCAAACAGGAUUAGAUACCCGGGUAGUC